CAAUAGCGUAUAUUUAAGUUGUUGCAGUUAAAAAGCUCGUAGUCGGAUUUUGGCUGAGAACGAUCGGUCCGCCGUUAGGUGUGCACUGAUUGGUCUCAGCUUCCUGGUGAGGAGGUGUGCUUCACGGCCACUUAGUCACCGUGGUUACUUUGAAAAAAUUAGAGUGUUCAAAGCGGGCUUACGCUUGAAUAUAUUAGCAUGGAAUAACACCAUAGGACUCCUGUCCUAUUUCGUUGGUCACGGGACGGGAGUAAUGAUUAAGAGGAACAGUUGGGGGCAUUCGUAUUUCAUUGUCAGAGGUGAAAUUCUUGGGUUUAUGAAAGACGAACUUCUGCGAAAGCAUUUGCCAAGGAUGUUUUCAUUGA
rnacentral:rRNA from 1 species